rnacentral:lncRNA from 1 species
CACAUAUAUCUAAUGGGCCGGAGUGUACGUACGACAGUAUUAUUAUUCUUCAGAUUCACCUCCGGCCAGUAAUCCAGCUUGCACGUGCACCCCAACGCCCUGAUCUAUACGUUCCAAAAAGUUUCUGUGCAUCUGAGUAUCUUCUUUGUGUACAUACUAUAUAGUAUAUGUAUGUAUUCAGGGCCGAAUCAUUUCGAAAAGGUAACUGAAUCCCUAGCUAUAAAUACAUACUCAAAGGUAUAUUUCACAUGCAUGAGCCCGGCCGGCGCGCCGUUAUGGAUUUGUCCAUGUCGCUGCUUUAAUUUGCGGCUUUGGUCGGACAAGGCGAACUUUCGACAUUGGAAUCUUCUCUCUGAUCCGACCAACAAUUAAUGGAGACAAGGUAAUCACUCGUCAGUACUAUACGCGUUCAAGUGCUCCAAAGUUUAAACUUUUCUUCCGACUAGCAGAAUUGCCGUGCGCUGCCACGGUAGGAAGCCACCUUUUCUUUUUUCUCUUUUUAUUUUUCUCUUGGGCCAGCUUCCCUGAAAAUGCCCAGCCCAUGCCUGCACGAGCGCUCGUGCCCGUCUUCAUCCUAGCGCCAAAAGCAGCACACAUGUGCGGCGGCCGCCGCACUCUCCGCCCUCGACGACGUCUCCUCGACCCGCAACCCGUCCAGGUGUUCUGAACCGUAUCCCAUGACCUUUUCCUUUCCUUUCUUUUCCCCUCAAUCAUCCCCCACAAUCACGGCUGAUGCUUUACCGCGUGUUGUCGUAGCGGCUUCCGUUGGCCCAGAUC